AUUGAACGCUGGCGGCAGGCCUAACACAUGCAAGUCGAACGAGUGGCGGACGGGAGAGUAAUGUCUGGGAAAAUGCCUGAUGGAGGGGGAUAACUACUGGAAACGGUAGCUAAUCACGCAUACCAUAAAAAGUGCCCAGAUUGGAGUAGCUUGUUGGUGUGGUAACGGCUAACCAAUGCGACGAUCCCUAGCUGGUCUGAGAGGAUGACCAGCCCAACUGGAACUGAGACCCGGUCCAGACGCCUACGGGAGGCAGCAGUGGGGAAUAUUGCACAAUGGGCGCAAGCCUGAUGCAGCCAUGCCGCGUGUAUGAAGAAGGCCUUCGGGUUGUAAAGUACUUGCAGCGGGGAGGCGUUACCCGCAGAAGAAGCACCGGCUAACUCCGUGCCAGCAGCCGCGGUAAUUC
rnacentral:rRNA from 1 species